rnacentral:tRNA from 1 species
UUCCCGGUGGUCCAGUGGUUAGGACUCAGCACUUUCACUGCUGCGACACAGGUUCAAUCCCUGGUCAGGGAA